AAACUUAGGAUAAUAAUAAACCAAGGGCCUUCAAAGCCCAAAACAUAAGACAGACUCUUAUAGUUUCUGU
rnacentral:tRNA from 1 species